UACGAACCGUACAAACGUUAUUCGGAAUCACUGGGCUUAAAGGGUGCGUAGGCGGCCAUGUAAGUGAGAUGUGAAAUCCCUCGGCUCAACCGAGGAAGUGCAUUUCAUACUGCAUGGCUUGAGGGAGACAGGGGUAAGCGGAACUGAUGGUGGAGCGGUGAAAUGCGUUGAUAUCAGGAAGAACACCCGUGGCGAAGGCGGCUCUCUGGGACGGUACUGACGCUGAGGCGCGAAAGCGUGGGGAGCGAACAGG
rnacentral:rRNA from 1 species